GGGUUGUGAGGUUAAGCGACUAAGCGUACACGGUGGAUGCCCUGGCAGUCAGAGGCGAUGAAGGACGUGCUAAUCUGCGAUAAGCGCCGGUAAGGUGAUAUGAACCGUUAUAACCGGCGAUUUCCGAAUGGGGAAACCCAGUGUGACUCGUCACACUAUCAUUAACUGAAUCCAUAGGUUAAUGAGGCGAACCGGGGGAACUGAAACAUCUAAGUACCCCGAGGAAAAGAAAUCAACCGAGAUUCCCCCAGUAGCGGCGAGCGAACGGGGAGGAGCCCAGAGCCUGAAUCAGCAUGUGUGUUAGU
rnacentral:rRNA from 2 species